GAUGAACGCUGGCGGCGUGCUUAACACAUGCAAGUCGAACGAUGAAGCCCAGCUUGCUGGGUGGAUUCGUGGCGAACGGGUGAGUAACACGUGAGUAACCUGCCCUUAACUCUGGGAUAAGCCUGGGAAACUGGGUCUAAUACCGGAUAGGAGCGCCUACCGCAUGGUGGGUGUUGGAAAGAUUUAUCGGUUUUGGAUGGACUCGCGGCCUAUCAGCUUGUUGGUGAGGUAGUGGCUCAUCAAGGCGACGACGGGUAGCCGGCCUGUGAGGGUGACCGGCCACACUGGGACUGAGACACGGCCCAGACUCCUACGGGAGGCAGCAGUGGGGAAUAUUGCACAAUGGGCGGAAGCCUGAUGCAGCGACGCCGCGUGAGGGAUGACGGCCUUCGGGUUGUAAACCUCUUUCAGUAGGGAAGAAGCGAAAGUGACGGUACCUGCAGAAGAAGCACCGGCUAACUACGUG
rnacentral:rRNA from 1 species